UACGUAGGGUGCAAGCGUUAAUCGGAAUUACUGGGCGUAAAGCGUGCGCAGGCGGUGAUGUAAGACAGUUGUGAAAUCCCCGGGCUCAACCUGGGAACUGCAUCUGUGACUGCAUCGCUGGAGUGCGGCAGAGGGGGAUGGAAUUCCGCGUGUAGCAGUGAAAUGCGUAGAUAUGCGGAGGAACACCGAUGGCGAAGGCAAUCCCCUGGGCCUGCACUGACGCUUAUGCACGAAAGCGUGGGGAGCAAACAGG
rnacentral:rRNA from 1 species